rnacentral:tRNA from 1 species
GGAGGAGUGCGCUGAAUUGGCUAAGGCACCGGUCUCGAGAACCGGCUCCCAGUUUUGGGAAUGUGGGUUCGAAUCCCACCUCCUCCGCCA